AGUGAACGCUGGCGGUAGGCCUAACACAUGCAAGUCGAACGGCAGCACAGUAAGAGCUUGCUCUUACGGUUGGCGAGGGGCGGACGGGUAAGGAAUAGAUAGGAAUCUACUAUUUCGGGGGGGAUAACGUAAGGCAACAGACACUACUGGCGAAUACGUUCUACGGGUGGAAGCAUGGGAAAAUGGGGCUUUGCGCGAUUGUAUGAGCCGAUGCCGGAUUAGCUAGUUGGCGGGGUAAGGGCCCACCAAGGCGACGAUCCGUAGCUGGGCUGAGAGGAUGAUCGGCCACACUGGAACUGAGACACGGUCCAGACUCCUACGGGAGGCAGCAGUAGGGAAUAUUCCGCAAUGGGCGCAAGCCUGACCGAGCCACGCCGCGUGAGUGAUGAAGGUCUUCGGAUUGUAAAGCUCUGUUAUUAGGGAAGAACAGAUGUGUAAGUAUCCCUGCCCGUCUUGACGGUACCUAAUGAGAAAGCCCCGGCUAACUUCGUG
rnacentral:rRNA from 1 species